UACGAAGGGGGCUAGCGUUGCUCGGAAUUACUGGGCGUAAAGCGCACGUAGGCGGAUACUUAAGUCAGGGGUGAAAUCCCGGGGCUCAACCCCGGAACUGCCUUUGAUACUGGGUAUCUCGAGUCCGGAAGAGGUGAGUGGAAUUCCGAGUGUAGAGGUGAAAUUCGUAGAUAUUCGGAGGAACACCAGUGGCGAAGGCGGCUCACUGGUCCGGUACUGACGCUGAGGUGCGAAAGCGUGGGGAGCGAACCGG
rnacentral:rRNA from 1 species